rnacentral:rRNA from 1 species
AAGUGCGAAUGCUGACAUAAGUAACGAUAAAACGGGUGAAAAACCCGUUCGCCGGAAGACCAAGGGUUCCUGUCCAACGUUAAUCGGGGCAGGGUGAGUCGGCUCCUAAGGCGAGGCUGAAAAGCGUAGUCGAUGGGAAACAGGUUAAUAUUCCUGUACUUGGUAAAGCUGCGAUGUGGGGACGGAGUAGGUUAGGUUAUCGCACUGUUGGAUAUGUGCGUUUAAGUUGGUAGGUGGGAAGUUUAGGCAAAUCCGGACUUCCUUAACACAGAGAGAUGAUGACGAGGCUCUACGGAGCUGAAGUAACUGAUACCACACUUCCAGGAAAAGCCACUAAGCGAAAGGCUUUACUAAACCGUACUGAAAACCGACACAGGUGGUCAGGUAGAGAAUACUCAGGCGCUUGAGAGAACUCGGGUGAAGGAACUAGGCAAAAUAGCACCGUAACUUCGGGAGAAGGUGCGCCGGCGUAGAUUGUAAGGGCUAGCCCCUGAAGGUUGAACCGGUCGAAGAUACCAGCUGGCUGCAACUGUUUAUUAAAAACACAGCACUCUGCAAACACGAAAGUGGACGUAUAGGGUGUGAUGCCUGCCCGGUGCUGGAAGGUUAAUUGAUGGUGUAAUCGAAAGAGAAGCACCUGAUCGAAGCCCCAGUAAACGGCGGCCGUAACUAUAACGGUCCUAAGGUAGCGAAAUUCCUUGUCGGGUAAGUUCCGACCUGCACGAAUGGCAUAAUGAUGGCCAGGCUGUCUCCACCCGAGACUCAGUGAAAUUGAAAUCGCCGUGAAGAUGCGGUGUACCCGCGGCUAGACGGAAAGACCCCGUGAACCUUUACUAUAGCUUGACACUGAACAUUGAAUUUUGAUGUGUAGGAUAGGUGGGAGCCUUUGAAGCAGUGACGCCAGUCAUUGUGGAGGCGACCUUGAAAUACCACCCUUUAACGUUUGAUGUUCUAACGAAGAUGACGAAACGUGGUCUCGGACAGUGUCUGGUGGGUAGUUUGACUGGGGCGGUCUCCUCCCAAAGCGUAACGGAGGAGCACGAAGGUUUGCUAAUCACGGUCGGACAUCGUGAGGUUAGUGCAAUGGUAUAAGCAAGCUUAACUGCGAGACAGACAAGUCGAGCAGGUACGAAAGUAGGUCAUAGUGAUCCGGUGGUUCUGAAUGGAAGGGCCAUCGCUCAACGGAUAAAAGGUACUCCGGGGAUAACAGGCUGAUACCGCCCAAGAGUUCAUAUCGACGGCGGUGUUUGGCACCUCGAUGUCGGCUCAUCACAUCCUGGGGCUGAAGUAGGUCCCAAGGGUAUGGCUGUUCGCCAUUUAAAGUGGUACGCGAGCUGGGUUUAGAACGUCGUGAGACAGUUCGGUCCCUAUCUGCCGUGGGCGUAGGAGAAUUGGUUGGGGCUGCUCCUAGUACGAGAGGACCGGAGUGGACGCACCACUGGUGUUCCGGUUGUGUCGCCAGACGCAUUGCCGGGUAGCUAAGUGCGGAAGAGAUAAGUGCUGAAAGCAUCUAAGCACGAAACUUGCCAAGAGAUGAGUUCUCCCAAUCUAAGAGAUUGUAAGGGUUGUUGUAGACUACGACGUAGAUAGGUCUGGUGUGUAAGUGUAGUGAUGCAUUGAGCUAACAGAUACUAAUUGCCCGAGAGGCUUAACUAU